GAUGAACGCUGGCGGCGUGCCUAAUACAUGCAAGUCGAGCGAAGCGGGGACGGGUGAGUAACACGUGGAUAACCUCCUAUAAGACUGGGAUAACCUCGGGAAAACGGAGCUAAACCGGAAACUGAACGCUGGAUCCGCGCGGCAUUAGCUAGUUGGUAAGGUAACGGCUGACCAAGGCAACGAUGCAUAGCCGACCUGAGAGGGGGAUCGGCCACACUGGAACUGAGACACGGUCCAGACUCCUACGGGAGGCAGCAGUAGGGAAUCUUCCGCAAUGGGCGAAAGCCUGACGGAGCAACGCCGCGUGAGUGAUGAAGGUCUUCGGAUCGUAAAACUCUGUUAUUGGGGAAGCGUUACCUAAUCAGAAAGCCACGGCUAACUACGUGCCAGCAGCCGCGGUAAUAC
rnacentral:rRNA from 1 species